CGGGGAACUGUUUGCCACGUGGAACAAAAUAGCCCGAGGUCAUAAGGCAUCCCCAAAAGGUAGGACUUGGAUGGGAUGGAGAGCACAGAGCGUAUCUGAUCUCAGCCCUCCACCUUCUUUGCACAAUAGAACCACAAAAGAGCUCUGACAGAUCCCAGCUCCCAGGUCCAAGCCUACAGCCACAGAAGUCAGAACCUCGGGGUGGAUCUGGGUGCCCCAGGAUCCCACGGUUUCAGCUAAGGUUGGAGAAUCCCAGAACUAGACUCUCCCCCGGGGUCUUGCCAAUUCCCGUUGUCUGCAAACGCAGGUGGAGAGAGCCAGGAAAUUCUACAGGCUACUGGGGUAUGGCGACAUUAGAAAGUGUUGGACUGAGAGAAGGAAGGGGUUGGAGUCUACUAAGCUAACCCUCCAUCUAACAGGUCUAUUUGAAAGCAGCUACGUUAAACCCGCAUCUCAGAUGAGAAAACUGGACAAAGUGCAGCCAACUGUCAACUGAAGGAUCCUGGGGAUCCAGAACCCCCAAGAAAAAUGCACGCUUUGUCUGAGAUUUAGGAUAAUUUACAAAUGCUUUGCAUCUGACUCAAGGUGGACUGAGGCAGCUGGAGGGUCUGUUAUCUGUGUGUCACACUGAGACUUGGCCUUUGAGCCAAAGCUCUUAAGCUCCUGGAAAUUCUUCAGAUAACACAGGCUCUCUCACUGAUAACCCCUGGAACCUACAAGUCACUUCAUGGGGCCAACCUGAGCCUUAUCCAAAAUGGCUGCAAAGAAUCUCAGAACUCCCCAGGAUGACCCGUUCCACCUUAAGUCUAAUACAGCCUGUCAAGCAGCACUUUCUAGGAAGAAGAAAGGUGAGCAGAGAGUUAUGGGUAGGCUCCCUCCCUUCAAUGGUCCAGUCUAUUCCAUUCCAUCUUCCCAAAGACUACCAGGUCCGCCACUUUCAGACAGGAGAGCCCCAGGCUCAGGAAAUUGCACUUAAGAGAUGCAGCCAACAGUUGCCUUUAGCCUACUGGCUAUGGGUGAGAUAGGACCUCUGUUGAUCUUUUCUGUGUCUAACACACAGAUUGCAAGCCCAGUGCCACUUUGAGAUC